rnacentral:lncRNA from 1 species
GGAAGUAUUAACCAAUUUGAAAGAAUAGUUUCAAUAGAAUGUGUUGUUAUUCUCUUUGAAUAAUGUUUAGACAUUUGCAUUAAGAAUAAUUGGUAAAAGUAAUAAUUUAUCAUGUAGUUAAUGAACUGAACUAAACUGUUGUUCUGAUCUGUUCUUUCGAGGUUAUCAUGAAAAGUGACAUCAGACGGUAUCUUAAUGCAUGGAAGAGAUAAUUGGACCGAAAAGUGUGUGUACCUCAAACCCCCUCUAAUUGGCUGAAGAAGGAGUGACGAAGGCGUUGAAUAUGGCCCUGCCCGAACCAUUUCUACUGAGAGGAAUGGCCGAGCCAGCAACCGGUGUACAGAAAUCUUAAGUCUUAUACAUACAGCCGGGAAGAACUAUUGGAUAUAAGAGCGACGUCAACUUACCAACAUUGCGACCAGGAAUACGAUUUUCCCGAAGCGGAUCCUCUGUUUGGACCACCACUCAGGACAAUGGAUCUAAUCCCAGAAGCUGACCCAAGACAACGGCGCUGCAGAAGGGGCAGACGGAGCGGCCUCCUGGUCAGGCUCCGUAGAUGUGCACAUCGCCCACCGCUCCCGAGUAUACUACUCACCAAUGUCCAGUCUCAUGACAACAAGGAUGCCGGUGGGCGGAGUUGGAAGGGUCGUCAGCUAAAUGGGAAACACCUGGGCCCAGCUGUGUCCCAGGAUAAAGAGACCUCUUCCACAGUUAUUGAGAGGACUCUCUCCAUGCAGACACUUUGUUGAUUUUGGUUGUGUAGUUUUGUGGCUUUUUGGUUAUUUCCUUUGGCACCUUUCAACACCCUGCAUUAUUACAUUCAGGUAUGCAAAACACUCACUUACACUACUGAUUACUGAUUACACACACGCC